rnacentral:rRNA from 1 species
CCUACGGGUGGCAGCAGUGAGGAAUAUUGGUCAAUGGCCGUAAGGCUGAACCAGCCAAGUAGCGUGAGGGAAGACUGCCCUAUGGGUUGUAAACUUCUUUUAUGCGGGGAUAAAGGUGUCCACGUGUGGAUGUUUGCAGGUACCGCAUGAAUAAGGACCGGCUAAUUCCGUGCCAGCAGCCGCGGUAAUACGGAAGGUCCGGGCGUUAUCCGGAUUUAUUGGGUUUAAAGGGAGCGUAGGUGGUUUAGUAAGUGGGCGGUGAAAUUCCGGGGCUCAACCUGGGCGCUACCGCCAAAACUAGUUGGCUAGAGUGCGGGGAAGGUAAGUGGAAUUCCUGGUGUAGCGGUGGAAUGCGUAGAUAUGAGGAGGAACAUCAGGGGCGAAGGCGGCUUACUGGACUGUAACUGACGCUGAGGCACGAAAGCGUGGGGAGCGAACAGGAUUAGAUACCCCAGUAGUC